rnacentral:tmRNA from 1 species
GGGGAUGAAAGGAUUUCGACGGGGGUUUUGAUACACGAUAAGCGAGUAGCGGCGCGGACCCGCUAUAAAAGCCGUAGUUUAUAAAUUAAACGACAACAACAAAGUUUUACAAGCUGCUUAAUUAGCAGCCGUUCCUCCCGUGAGUACUGCGGCCCGGGAUGUGAGCGUCGAUUAGCAGUGACCGUGAACAAAGUUUUGCCUUAAACUUUGUCAUGAACUAAAGGCUACCGGACAAAACAGCUAGUUGCGCGGCGGUUUUGAAAGGGAAUUAUAAAGGUGCAACUACACUCGUAGAAAGUCGUGCGGAUGAGCUUUCGGACGCGGUUUCGAUUACCGCCAUCUCCACCA